UAGGGAAUCUUCCACAAUGGACGCAAGUCUGAUGGAGCAACGCCGCGUGAGUGAAGAAGGGUUUCGGCUCGUAAAGCUCUGUUGGUAGUGAAGAAAGAUAGAGGUAGUAACUGGCCUUUAUUUGACGGUAAUUACUUAGAAAGUCACGGCUAACUACGUGCCAGCAGCCGCGGUAAUACGUAGGUGGCAAGCGUUGUCCGGAUUUAUUGGGCGUAAAGCGAGUGCAGGCGGUUCAAUAAGUCUGAUGUGAAAGCCUUCGGCUCAACCGGAGAAUUGCAUCAGAAACUGUUGAACUUGAGUGCAGAAGAGGAGAGUGGAACUCCAUGUGUAGCGGUGGAAUGCGUAGAUAUAUGGAAGAACACCAGUGGCGAAGGCGGCUCUCUGGUCUGCAACUGACGCUGAGGCUCGAAAGCAUGGGUAGCGAACAGGAUUAGAUACCCUGGUAAUCCAUGCCGUAAACGAUGAGUGCUAAGUGUUGGGANNUUUCCGGNNCUCAGUGCUGCAGCUAACGCAUUAAGCACUCCGCCUGGGGAGUACGACCGCAAGGUU
rnacentral:rRNA from 1 species